UCUCUACACCACAAAAAGGGGUCGUAAGGGCGGUUAGCUUGAGGGGCAAGUCCCAUUUUGCUCAACCGCCCUCUCACGCCGCUUAAAAUUUUAGGUAAUAAAUAAUAAAUGCCUGAUUUUUAGACCAGUUAAACACAGUAGAACGUAUACGCACGCGUAUAUAUAUUUACAUAGAGGAGAAGGGCAAUUUGGACGCAACAGUGGAGCUAGGGUUUGUAUUGCUAUUGAAUUGCUGAGCGUGUAGCGUGGGAGGCCAGUAAGGAAUGAAGGAGGAGGGGCUUUGCAGGUGGAAAGCUUUUUGUUUCACUUGAGCCGUUGGACCUGCAGGUUCUGAGUCUUGACCUUGCUUCUCUGUCUCCGCUCUUUUUUGAAUCUAAAAUUUCGACCUCCAAUUUGGUUGUGUUUGUGCAUUUUAAGGGCAUCUGGGUGGAGUCUUGAAAAAUUUGAGCCUCCGAUAAGUUCCCUUUAAAUAUAUUUACGAAGCAAUUGUAUGUAUGAUGACUUUCCAGUAUAACCUUGACCCUCUGCUAAAUUUGGCUGUGCGCUAAAUUUAGGUUUGUAUUAGGGUGCCAAAACAUGGUAGUUUAGGAAGCGAUUUUUCAUAUAGUGCCGUCUGAUGGAGAAAGCGUGGGUUUGAAUUUUGUGGUGCUAAAUCUGACCCUGAAAUGAUCUCGUUACGAUUUCUAAAAUUAGGACUUGAUCUGCCCUUUGGAAGUCGGUCUUUUAUGGCUUCGUUAUGGUUGUUUUAUGGUGCAAUUGAGGUGUUGCCAUUUUCGUGGCUAAUUUUGGGUUUGUAGUGACCCAUUCAGGCUUUUGUAAUUCUGGGACUCCAAAUUGGCGCUGUAACUUGGGGGGUUCUUUUUUGGUCUUGCUGGGGUCGUUUCAUGGUGGAACUGGGGUUUGUUUGGCGAAAUGACAUUUUGACUAUUGAGGAUUGUUUUAUGGUUCUGUUGGGGUUUUAAUAAUGAUACUGCAAGCUGGAAGCAAUUCUCUGUUCUAUAUGUUGUUUGCCUUCGUUUUGAUGUAAAAUGUGGCAUCAGAUUUUGGUGUAUAGUUUAACCUCUUGUUAGGGGUUGUUGUAGAUUAUGGUGUUGCAGUGAAAUUGUAAAUAAUCGCACUGCAAUUGAAACGGUUUGGGGUGUAAAUUGGUGUUGUUUGUGAUGAAGUGCGAAAAGAAGCAUUUCUGUCGGCUUGGCAGAAAGAUUUUGGAGAGAGCUCAAAUGAAACUAAAACAACGAAAUAAAUAUAGUUUCUUGUCCUCAGGAAGAGGAACAUUUAAGUGGGGACGGAAAAAUGGAAUUAACCGUGGCAAGGACAAGUGUUCGAAAUGUAGUUGUGUGUAUCAGUGCUGUUCUGGCAAGGCAGCGUUGCAUAACUAUGAGAAUUUUCGUAAGAGUUCAGUGCCAAUGAGGGUGAUGUAUUUUUGGAAUGGCUCAUGGAAUGAUUUUUCUGUCCAAGUUUUGGAUUCUCUUAGAGUUGAGUUUUUGGCUGGCAUGCCCACUGUAGAGUUGGUGAUAGAUGGUUCACCAUAUCUCGUUGAUUUUUUGCGAAUGCUGCAAAUAGAUUUGAGGGCCGGCUGUCAAAGGUCCAUUGCCUGGAUUGAUGUGAAUGGAUCAUGCUUUUUCCCUAAAUUUAUCAUUGAGGGUAACGCCGAUGAAGAAUUUGCUCCUAAAGUUGAGGUUGAGAUUGAAAUUCGAAUAAGCCCAACUGAGGCCUCGAAUGCUGAUAAUUGUGAUACAGUUGCUGCUAAUAUGGAGGUUUCGAAAACUGAGCAAGUUUGUUUUCCGGGUAGUUUCGGAGUUUCGAAAACAAGGAUAAAUAAGCUUCCUGGUGACUUUAAGCUCUUGACCAAGGUUCCAAAUUUGAAGCCUGUGGCUGAUGUGGUAUCAAUGAAUGGCCCUAAAUUAGAUGGACUGAUCAAGAAAUCUUCAUCUGAGGGCCGCACUGGUGCAAAUGAAUUGGAUAGAGAUCUAAGAAAUACAAACUUGUGUAAGGAUCCAAAGCCAGAGCCUGUGAGUGAGUUACCAACAAAUGCUUUCAAAGCAAAGCACUUUCUUCAUAAAACAUCAACUGAGGUGCGAACAGGUACAGAUGAAUUGGACAGAGGCCUUUUGGAUGCAGGCAUGUCUAAGCUUCCAAGAAGCCAACUAGAGAAUGCAACAUUGCCCAGGGUCUUCACAGGUGCAACACAGUUGGAGAACGGUAUCCAGGUAUCGCGUGAUGAGGUUGGGGGUGGUGUCAUUAAUCACAAUUUGCUUUCUGAAUCCCAACAAUGUUCUAGUCUUGUGACUUGUGAAUUUGAACAGCUGGGAGACAAACUGAUCAAAUUAGUGGAUUGCGAUAAAGAGUAUGUACCUGUGAAAAAUUGUUUCCUUACUGGCCUAAAUAAAAUUGGACUUGCAACCAAUGUUACUGGUAUUUAUCGAAAUUCACAUACAGGUAGGCUGGGACAGGCUCGGUUGCAGGUUUUCAACAAGCAGGUUGAGAUAACAAGAAAUUCUCGUGGUAAUGCAAAUGUUAAAUAUGCAUGGCAUGGGGCAUCCUCUACAAGUAUAUCAUCAAUUAUACUGCAUGGUUUUAGCAAUAACAGGUUACUGGAUGGUGGUCCGGCAUAUGGUUUUGGUGUUUAUCUCGCUCCAGAAGAUUGCUCCUAUUUGAGUGUUCCAUUUUCAGACUUAGACAGUAAUGGUGAACAGUAUGUUGUGUUGUGCCGAGUUAUUUUGGGGAAUGUUGAGGAAGUUCCUCUUGGCUCUCAUCAGUUUCAUCCCAGCUGUGAGAAGUUUGAUUCUGGCAUUAAUGAUAUCAGCAAUCCAAAGCAUUACAUUGUAUGGAGCACUCACAUGAAUACACACAUUUUGCCAGAAUAUGUUGUCAGUUUUAAGGCUCCUCACCAGUCCACUGCUUGUUCAGAUGGAUUGAAAGCAAAUGAAGCCGUUUCUGAUAUUUGCAGAAAUACGAGGAGUGAUUUGCAAUGUACUCAAGUAGCCAAUGAAUUUUCUGUUUAUGAGAUGGAGCCUUGCAUAGACAACAACAAAGAAAACCAGCAUAAGGUACAGGUUCCUAGAAGAGAAUCUGUGCCAAUGCCCGGUUCAGGUCACAUGCCAUUUAUGGACUUACUAUCUAUUAUUGGAAAUUUUCUUCCUACAGCUCAUAUUAAAUUAUUGGAACGUCAAUACACUCAGUACAAGGCAGGAAGAAUUAGCAGAGAUAUGUUCAUAAGGAAGGUGAGGAUGAUUGCUGGUGAUAAGUUGCUGAUUGAAGUUAUUCGAAACAUUAAAGGACGAAACAUUAAAGGACAGGUGACUAGAGCAAAGCGUGUUCCCCAAUCUCUUUUUGAUUCAGAGAGAAUUAACAUGGAUGAUCGAUCUACCUUAUUUAUGGGUCAGACUCAAUAUCAUCAUCAUUUUAAGAGAUGGAUAUGGAGUGAUUAAUUUUCAAUGGGGAGGACGAAGUACUCCAACCAGCGCCUUCUUGUAGUUAUGAACUACAUUAGACUGAAGCAAAAGGAAUUGGCAACUGAAUAAUUGGGUCAAGGGUUUCUAAUUGGAUAGGAAUAAAUUAUUACUGAUUGACGAUAAACGAGAGAAUACUCUCUACAUGGCAAUACGGGACAAUGGAUCUCAAGAUUAAUCCUGAAGGUUUCUGCUAUCAUGUUUAUAAAUACACGCAAGUUUCAGCUAUAUGUUUAUAAUAUUCUUGAUAUAGUGGAUGCCUUACGUAGUGUUCUUUUGACUUCAUCAUAAUGCAAUUCUUGAUCUCAAAUUGUAAUUUUGUCAGAAUGCUCUUUUGUCCAAGCAACUGGUGGUCUGCAGCUUCCGAGCUUCUGUGUUUUGUGGCUACUUAAUGAAAAAUUGCAAUACAGGACGGUGGAUCUCAAGUUUUAUUGCCAAAGGUUACUACUAUCAGAGCUGCAAAUGCACGGGAGUUUCAGCAAUAGUUUUUCUAGCGUUCUUGAUACAGCAGAGGCAUUGAGUAGGUUUAUCGUGCUUACAUGUCAAGUUGUAAUUAUUUCAGGUUGCAAUGAUGUCCAAUCAACUUGAGGUCUGCAACUUCUGAGCUUCUGUAUUUUGUGCCCUACUUAAUGGAACAUUCUAAUGGAGAGAAUGAUUAAAUGGACUACUUCAUUUUGACACUUCAAGACGUUUUCGUAUUUGUUUCUUCUGAAAUUAAAUGAAUUUGAUUUGCUUUGUUUGGUCUUUCA